UAAGCAUGUAGGCUGGUUAUCCAGGCAAAUCCGGAUAAUCAAGGCUGAGGUGUGAUGACGAGGCACUACGGUGCUGAAGUAACAAAUGCCCUGCUUCCAGGAAAAGCCUCUAAGCAUCAGGUAACAUUAAAUCGUACCCCAAACCGACACAGGUGGUCAGGUAGAGAAUACCAAGGCGCUUGAGAGAACUCGGGUGAAGGAACUAGGCAAAAUGGUGCCGUAACUUCGGGAGAAGGCACGCUGGUGUGUAGGUGAAGCCCCUGCGGGUGGAGCUGAGACCAGUCGAAGAUACCAGCUGGCUGCAACUGUUUAUUAAAAACACAGCACUGUGCAAACACGAAAGUGGACGUAUACGGUGUGACGCCUGCCCGGUGCCGGAAGGUUAAUUGAUGGG
rnacentral:rRNA from 1 species